UUGAUCCCGGGGUCAGGACGAACGCUGGCGGCGUGCCUAAUACAUGCAAGUCGAACGAAACUUUCUUACACCGAAUGCUUGCAUUCACCGUAAGAAGUUGAGUGGCGGACGGGUGAGUAACACGUGGGUAACCUGCCUAAAAGAAGGGGAUAACACUUGGAAACAGGUGCUAAUACCGUAUAUCUCUAAGGAUCGCAUGAUCCUUAGAUGAAAGAUGGUUCUGCUAUCGCUUUUAGAUGGACCCGCGGCGUAUUAACUAGUUGGUGGGGUAACGGCCUACCAAGGUGAUGAUACGUAGCCGAACUGAGAGGUUGAUCGGCCACAUUGGGACUGAGACACGGCCCAAACUCCUACGGGAGGCAGCAGUAGGGAAUCUUCCACAAUGGACGCAAGUCUGAUGGAGCAACGCCGCGUGAGUGAAGAAGGUCUUCGGAUCGUAAAACUCUGUUGUUAGAGAAGAACACGAGUGAGAGUAACUGUUCAUUCGAUGACGGUAUCUAACCAGCAAGUCACGGCUAACUACGUGCCAGCAGCCGCGGUAAUACGUAGGUGGCAAGCGUUGUCCGGAUUUAUUGGGCGUAAAGGGAACGCAGGCGGUCUUUUAAGUCUGAUGUGAAAGCCUUCGGCUUAACCGGAGUAGUGCAUUGGAAACUGGAAGACUUGAGUGCAGAAGAGGAGAGUGGAACUCCAUGUGUAGCGGUGAAAUGCGUAGAUAUAUGGAAGAACACCAGUGGCGAAAGCGGCUCUCUGGUCUGUAACUGACGCUGAGGUUCGAAAGCGUGGGUAGCAAACAGGA
rnacentral:rRNA from 1 species